rnacentral:rRNA from 1 species
AGUAACGCGUGGGUAACCUACCCUGUACACACGGAUAACAUACCGAAAGGUAUGCUAAUACGGGAUAAUAUAUUUGAGAGGCAUCUCUUGAAUAUCAAAGGUGAGCCAGUACAGGAUGGACCCGCGUCUGAUUAGCUAGUUGGUAAGGUAACGGCUUACCAAGGCGACGAUCAGUAGCCGACCUGAGAGGGUGAUCGGCCACAUUGGAACUGAGACACGGUCCAAACUCCUACGGGAGGCAGCAGUGGGGAAUAUUGCACAAUGGGCGAAAGCCUGAUGCAGCAACGCCGCGUGAGUGAUGAAGGCCUUCGGGUCGUAAAACUCUGUCCUCAAGGAAGAUAAUGACGGUACUUGAGGAGGAAGCCCCGGCUAACUACGUGCCAGCAGCCGCGGUAAUACGUAGGGGGCUAGCGUUAUCCGGAUUUACUGGGCGUAAAGGGUGCGUAGGCGGUCUUUCAAGUCAGGAGUGAAAGGCUACGGCUCAACCGUAGUAAGCUCUUGAAACUGGGAGACUUGAGUGCAGGAGAGGAGAGUGGAAUUCCUAGUGUAGCGGUGAAAUGCGUAGAUAUUAGGAGGAACACCAGUUGCGAAGGCGGCUCUCUGGACUGUAACUGACGCUGAGGCACGAAAGCGUGGGGAGCAAACAGGAUUAGAUACCCUGGUAGUCCACGCUGUAAACGAUGAGUAC